rnacentral:lncRNA from 1 species
AUCCUAGAGAGCAUGGGCUACCGCACCACCCUGUGUGAAGGCCGGCGUGAGCCUCAGGCCAGGGGCCAAGAAGGAUGUUAGAGUUAGCGGCUCCGCGUGCUUUCAUUUUUCUUUGCAUCCCCUCAGCCCUUCCCAUCACAGUGUGCACCAUCAGUCCACAAGCCUUUGCUGAACCUACUUUCAAUUCAAAAAGGAAGGCCAGACAAUCCUCUGAGGAAUCCGAAAAAGGAGAGCUGUUUCUCCUUUAAGCGGUUUGUGGAAGGAGGAAAUAUGAGCAAUUGAAAUGAACAAUUUGGAAACCAAAUAAAAGCAAAACUGGAUGAGAAGUGAGAGCCGCAAGCCCUGUGGGAGUGAAGCCGAGCUAGCGUCCCUUCCUUUCUCCCUUUCCUGGGGAAGAAAUCCCGGACGCCUGAAAAAGCUGUUCUCUUCAUUUGAGGGACUGCAGCUUCUCUCACGAAGCUCUCAGUAUUCCUUUUAGGUGCCGUACAUGGUGUUUCUACUUAUGAAAGAUUUUCCAACUAGGUACAGAUGGAAAAUACCGCGGCAGAAAUCUCUGGCCUUUGGGUGGGACAACUCCUGCAAGACACACGUUAGGGCGUGUUUAUUUUCAGAAGGCGGCAGGAGACUUUGCCAACACCAGUGCCCCUUGUUUUGACGGCAUUUUCCCAAGUAACUGAUUAUGUUCCUCUUCUACCAUACACACCUAAUCACAGCAGAUAGAGCCAGACAGGCUGAAAUUCACUGGCUACCCUUUAGCUCCUAGGAGGUGGCUGAGUUAGUCCUGAGGAGUUGCGGUUUACAGAGAGGCAGGGGUACCGGGAGCUUGGCAGAGCUCUCAACAAGAAUCAGGGUGACUGUAAGAGCAGAGACAUUCUGCAAGCUGACGGUGGCUGUCAUUAAGCUCACGCAAGCGGCUAUAUGUUACUGAAAGUUGAUGGCUUCUGAUUUAUUAGCUACACCUGUGUAAUAAGAACAUUUCUCUGCAUUGUUUAACACAGGACACAGACAACGCUUCCACGGCCAAAGUGGGCAAAACUCACUGCCUCGCGUGACAGCGAUCUACAAGACGAUUGCAAACAUGUUAGCAUAGAAGCAUGUACCGAACAUGCAGGGAGGUAACCUGGUGAGUCGGCCACGGGGCCAUCAUCUAAACAAGAGUUUAGAACACUCAUAUGCUAAUGAGCUGAAUUCUGCAAACGCACAGGCCUGCCUCUGACGUCAUUUCUGAUAACGUCUUGCUUUGAAGCAAGCCAACUCCCAUAGCUGUCAUCCAUCCCGCUUUUGGGGGUUGUUGGAAUAGGAGAUUACAACUGAAAUGUCUAAGACGGCCAGGCAAAUGUUAACAGUGAGGGGGCAGGUGGGGCAUCCGCCCCUUGGGAGUAAUUAUCCCUCCACUAGGAAAUAUGUUCUCUUCUGUUCCUGACAUAUGUGGGUCUCCUGGUUCAGCAUUUUCCAAUUUUGAGAAAAACGCACCUCAUGUAUUCCAUUCGCUGCCUAACCCAAUUCAAUUUCUUCUUCUAAGUUCUACUGCCAAGGAAACAACUUCACACCAUCUCGGUGCCAGAGAGCUCAGAGGAAGUGGGGAGGCUGUGAGAGCCGGGGGCCCAGGGCCCUUGAAGCAGGUUGCUUCUGAACAAGUCAAGCUAGCGGUGGCCAGAUGGGGCGGGGAUUUUUCUGAAUGACUACAGUUUGUCAGUUGUUCUUUCAAGUAAAAAUGGUGUUUUAGGAAAAAAAAAUUGGCUGGUUCAACUUGCACUUCAAAAGUUGCACAAGUGUUCUCCUCCCAAUCUCUGCAACUCAAUAAGCAGCCCACGUACUUUCUGGGUACUUCCCUUUUAAUCACACGGAAUCUUGAAGAGAGACAUAUGAGCAUCAAAGUUUAACAAAAUCCAUCAUUUUCCCGCUUCCCCAAGGCUUCAAUAAGCAGCCCAAGUACUUUCUGGGUACUUUAAUCACACGGAAUCUUGAAGAGAGAUACACGAGCAUCAAAAUUUAACAAAAUCGAUCCUCUUCCUGCUACCCCAAGGACACUCCUGUGUGAAACCGUGCUGAUCCGUGUCUCCUACGAGAGCAGGCUGCUGGGCCAGGCGCUGACAGCUCGCCCCAUGGAGCCGCCACCUGGACUCCGGGAGGCGCCAAGGCUUCAGCCCCCACGUGCUCUUAACAUCAUCCGUGCAAAUAUCAUCACAGCAAAAGAGGCAAAUAACGUCUUGGCAUUUUUAUGCAAAGAUUUUUGACCUUCGAAGCCCCCGGGAAGUGCGUGGGACUCUCAGGGUCCGUGGAACACAUUUGUAGAACAGAAAUCAGGGAGAAGCUAAGCCUCUUGUUCCCCAGGAAUUCUUUCAACGGUAUUUUAUCAUCAAUAGCUGAGGAGUAUAUUGUACCCCUCACACACGGUAAAACCAUAUAAAGGUAAACUACCUUUAGUUAUAUGCUGUUUCCUACGAAUAUGAUAUGUUCUCAAAAUAAAUUCAGAGUAGGAUCCAUUCUGUUUUACAAGAGAUCGAGGAGCGACACUGGCAGCUGGGUGCCCUCUGCUGGCCAGUCUGGGAAGUGGCUGGCUGGGAAGGCAGCGCUCAGACUUCCCUAAACUUCACAGAGGGCGUGAAUGGUCCAGCUCUUUUCAUAAAGACUCCCCUUAAGAAGCAUAUUCAAGAUUUUUCAACCACAUAAUUUAUUUAAUUUCAAUAAUUUAUUUUUCAAUAAUUAAAAUGUUUUUUAAAGAAUCAAGAUUAUUUUUAGAUUGAAAUAUGAUUAAAAAUAUUUGGUGACAUUAAAUUUUCUGUAGUGCAUCCAGGCAUCUCACUAGGUAACUUAAAAGCAAAAACCAAAAGUAGUAUCUAUGUUGUUUAUCCUCAUCAGUCACUGGAGUUUCGAUCAGACAGUCUUACUGUGCUUGAGAGCAUAGACUCUGCCUGCGUGUAUAGGAAGAGAAAGGAAGGGAACAGGUAGAAUCAAGUAAGAGAAAAUAGACUGCUGAAAGAAAACUUUCUGCUUACACGUAAGACAACUUUCUGCCUCUAUCUCUACCUAAUAUAGAUAAUUAUCAUGAUCACACAUUCAAACAGGGGCUUGCUAUGCAAAUGCCACAUCAGUGAUCAAAUUCUUUAAAGAGUUAUUCAGGUUUUGGACAAAUUUGCACUGAUGACCCAUCACAAUAUAGAGAAAAGCAAUUGAACUGCUUCAUAUGUAUUGAUUUGGAAUUGACUCGAUUCCAUCAGUUACCAGCUGUUAUUCUGAAUGUUCUCCAAAUGGUUCUGCCCACUUGAAAAAGAUACCUGGGGCCUUCCUUAACAUUCCCAGUUACCCAUCUAUGUAUAUUUUACAACUGGGCAUCCAUCCCAGGCAUUAACUGAGCACAUAUUACGUGCUAGACACUGUGCCAGGCUUUGGGAAGGGCCAAAGGUUAACAGGGUGUAUUUCCAGUCCUGAUAAAACUUUACUGUCUAGUUAUCCCUCAGUCGUUCCAGUACGAGGUGGGCUAUUGUAGGUCCUCUGAAUAGAUUACUUUGGGUGUUCAGGAAGGGGAAAGCUUCAUCAUGCAGGAAGUGAGAUUUGAGUUAGUUCUUGCAGAUUUUGUGAUAAUAACAGGCAGAAAUGGGAGAGUGGGGUAGUCCAUAUUGAAAAAGCAAGUGAACAAAAGCCUUGGGUCAGGGAUGUCCUGGAUGUAUUCUGAAAGUGAGAAUAAUGAAGUAUACAUUAAAAAAAAUACAGGCUGGGCACAGUGGCUCAUGCCUGUAAUCCCAGCACUUUGGGAGGCUGAGGUAGGAGGAUUGCUUCAGGCCAAGAGUUCAAGACCAACUUGGGCAACAUGCUGAAACCCCAUCUCUAAAAAAUUAAAGCUAUAUGUAUAGAUAUAGAUAUAUAACAGGAAUUGAGAAAAAUAGAUUCAUAUUAAUAAGAGGAAUAAUAACAUCUGCAAUAUUUCCCCAAGAAUCCACAUUCUGCUUAAUAACAGCUGGUGCAUAAUCCAAGCCAGUUUUCACAAUGGCCUUUCCCCCCUUUCUCUUUUUUCUACGAAAGAAGAAAGUCCCAUCUCACUAGUUGAGUUCUGGUAGGGGCCAGCUGGUGCUGGAAGGCUCUCUUAGAAGCCUGUGAGGCCCUUCAUGUGCUCAGCCAAUGAGCAGCUCCUGUUCUUGAGGUUGGAUGGUUUGAUGUAGAAGACAGUGGCAAGUUGAUUCCUAAUCUGACUUUGCAAAGUACAUCUAAAGUGCAUGACAGCAUGUGGACGUAGUUUCAAAAUACACCCAAUCAUAUGUCCUCAAUGCUGGUGAGUAAGGAAAUCAUCUCAGGCCUGAUGGUUGGCCUUAUUGAAAAAUCUGUGAUGCCUUCAUUGAAGCCCAAAGUGAACAUUUUUGUUGUUUCAUCCUUAGUAAGCUUAAGCCAUUCAAAAUGCUGAAUGAAUUGCUGAGAUAAAUCACUUGAAAUCAUAGAAAUGGACCUUUCUGGCAUGAUCUGUGUCAUGAGAACAAUUUUUAAAUCUUCCUGUGAACAGAGUCGUAGGACUGCCUUUCCCACUGCCAGCCCACCAUGUGGAGAAGCACACUGUGAGCAAGGUUCCUGUUUUGUCAUGGAGAGGGAUGGUGAGACGGCCUUGGUGGCAUUACUUCACUGUACAAUGAACCCUGCUCCAUGCGGGUGAGAUACAGCUGCAGCUGCUGACUUCCUGGCAAAUUUUCUCUCUGUGCACAUGAGCUGGUCCUGAUCUAACACAUUUUUCUGAGCUCCAUCCUAGCUCGUGGCUCAUUCAUUACAUUCAAACGCCCCUGCUUCUGAGACACAGGUGUGCAGUGGCAAAGGAACAGACGUGGUAACGCAUUCUGCCUCCUGCGAUCUGGUUUGUUCUCUGCACAUUUGUGACUUCAUCAAAUACCUGCUAGUGGACGCCCGAUGAUCAUACCUGCUUUUCCACAUGUUUUGUGUUUGCAUGUGUGAAACACAACAGAGGCAGGUGACGAAGAUUUCUUCCAGUCCCUCAUUUUGCAUCUUCUCUGAACACGGUAUCUGCUGUCGACCCGGAGUCUGCGUUUAUCAACUUCUCCACAGUCCCGGAGCGGGUACCUCCUUCUGCAAUUGAGGACGAGGCCUCUGCUAUUGAAUGGUGCCUUUCAGGUUCUCAUGGUUGCUUUUCUUUUCAUGUAAAACUAGCCAUUUCACAUUGGAAAACAUCACUUUAUGUUUGUUCUGGAAAUAUUCACUUGCUUUGUCUGGAAGGCCACUGUGUUUGGAUGCCAGUUACAUAAAGGAUUUGAUGAUGAAAAGUCUCAUUAAGGACUAGGAAUUAAUAGAUCAUCAAGAAAAUCCAGUUUCAAAAAUUUAUAUUUUCUAUUAAAACACAUCUGCUUUUAGCUACUUGUCCAAAACCAUCCUGGUAUGCAGGUUCUCAUUCAUCUUUAUAUCAGAGUCAUUCACGAUUUCCAUUCAGGAUAUUAUUUUGUAUAUUAUAGUGAGUUCAUAUACGUAUCCCAAGAUUGCUUUCACCUGUAAGGAAUCACCUUGUGCCACUAAUUCAUUUUACAGUGAAUUAGUGAUUGUAAAGAAAUCACAAUGCCAAUGACUUCGCUAAUUUAACAGGUGAUAGAACAUAACACACAAUGACAUAAAAAACGAACUUCCCCAAUCAACC